rnacentral:piRNA from 1 species
UGUGUGCAUCCUGUGACAUCUGUCCCAGAG